rnacentral:rRNA from 1 species
GCCCAACUGUAAUACAACAAUUAAACCACAGAUUGUUCGCCAAAUAACUACGAGUAAAAACUUAAAAUUUAAAAGACUUGACGGUACUUCACAACAACCUAGAGGAGCCUGUCCUAUAACCGAUAACCCACGAUUAACCCUGCCCCCCCUGGCCCACAGUCUAUAUACCGCCGUCGCCAGCCUACCUUGUGAAAGAAAUAAAGUAAGCUAAACAACACACAUUAACACGACAGGUCGAGGUGUAACUAAUGGGGCGGAGAAAGAUGGGCUACAUUUUCCACCAGGAAUAUACGAAUGCGAUUACGAAAAUUAGCCGCUGAAGGCGGAUUUAGCAGUAAGAUAAGAAUAAAAUGCCUAACUGAAAUAUGCAAUGAAGUGCGUACACACCGCCCGUCAUCCCUGCAGUAUUAUAAAAAAAUACAUAAUGAACACCACACCCAAACCAGGGCAAGUCGUAACAUGGUAAGUGUACUGGAAAGUGUACUUAGUAA